UGGCGGACGGGUGAGUAACGCGUGGAUAACCUGCCUGUAAGACUGGGAUAACACCGGGAAACCGGUGCUAAUACCGGGCGUGCUGUAGAAUGGGCAUCCAUUUUACAGGAAAGGACUUUAAGUCUGCUUACAGAUGGGUCCGCGUCCCAUUAGCUAGCUGGUGGGGUAAAAGCCUACCAGGGCGACGAUGGGUAGCCGGCCUGAGAGGGUGGUCGGCCACACUGGGACUGGGACACGGCCCAGACUCCUACGGGAGGCAGCAGUGGGGAAUAUUGCGCAAUGGGCGGAAGCCUGACGCAGCGACGCCGCGUGGGUGACGAAGGCCUUCGGGUCGUAAAACCCUGUUGCAGGGGACGAAGGAAGUGACGGUACCCUGUGAGGAAGCCCCGGCUAACUACGUGCCAGCAGCCGCGGUAAAACGUAGGGGGCGAGCGUUGUCCGGAAUUACUGGGCGUA
rnacentral:rRNA from 1 species